CAGUUUCUCACAUAUUGUAGUGAAAAUGUUAAGUCACUGCUUGAAGCUGUGAUUGAGCACCUGGUGGAAGGCAGGGCCAACCCAGAGGAGCUCAGGUGUGCGCAAUGCACUGAGUGACUUGAAGGGCUGAAGCCAGGAUCCACCCCUACCCAGGUCUCAUUUAAGUGUUGGCAGCAGUGGCAAGGAUGCUUUUCUAGAGAUUCUUGCAUAUCCGAGGCCUUCUGAAGAAUCUCCUGGGAGCAGCAAGAGCCUCUGAAGAAGCAAUAUUUGGAUGGGAAACUUAUGUCCUCCAAGCUGGCGAGUUGCAACACUGACACAGAUUUUUCUUGUCGCUGCAAAACUCUCCUUGUAAGAGGAACUGAAAACUCAGGAUUUGGAGCAUGGAAAGCACAAAUCCAGAGCAGCCAGAGAGGCUCCCAAGGCUCCUUGGGUAUUCCUUUGGAUGUCUUUGAGAAAACCUUUCCCUCUGCAAAGAAGAGGCUCCCAGAAGCAGGGAAGGAAGGAGCUGGGAAGAAGAGGAGGAGAGAUUCUUCUGGAACAUCAAUAGGUCUAAAUUCACAGAUUCAAUUUUUUCCCUUGCUUUUGCCACCACAAAUGGGAGCUGGAUCCCAACAAGUCUUAACUCCACAGAGACAGCACUCAUUUCUGUACGCCUGAGUCCUUCCACCACCCAUAAAAGCCUUUUGUGAUCAGUGUAACUGCCCGUCUGAGCACUUCCCAACCAUUAUGUAGGAAGAAAUGAGUAUUACUUUUAUUCUGACUCCCCAAACUACAGGAAACAAGGAACCUAGACAGAGAGAGUGGGAAAAGAUGUCCCUACUUUCCCUUGUGACUCUGCAGGCUGUCAGCAGCCUUGGGAGGACGCUAACAGGAGGAGAAAGGCAGAUCCGUGUGGUUCCCAACAGGGAGCAAGCCUGGGUAGUGCAGGGAUUAUCUGCAGCAGCUUUUGUUUGGGUCUGGAAGGGAGCACUGAGGGCAUUGCGAAGCGUUAUGGCAAUGUGAGGACACUGGAGCACUUCUCAAAGCACCCCUGUGGACCUAUUAAUUGCAAUAUUGGAUCUUUCAUCUUUUUCAGCAGGUUCCCAGCAAUAGGCAUGCAGCCAGCUUGGCUGGGGUUUUGUUUAUUUUCCAGUUAACAUAGAAGCAGAAUCAAUUCCAACUAACAAAGCUAGAAAUAUCAGGGAAAAAAAAAAGUUCAAUUCCCAUGGAUCAUCUGAGGCAUAUGCCUGGAAGGUAUUUACUGGUAGCAGGGCAAUUAGGGCAAUGAUAGGGCAGGGGACCAGGAACAUUUCCCAGAAGAGGGUGUGAAACAUAGCAAGCCCAUCAUCAGCAAGGCAAGAGAAGUACCUUCGCUGUGUUGAUUACCACUAGCUAGAUGGGAAAAUUGUGCUUGGAAGCAUGGCAGCACACACAAAACCCAGCUGCAAAUGCUCCCUACAGCAGUUCUCCCCCCAGGGUGGCAAGAGGCAGCUGAGUGGUGCUCAUCUGACGUCCUGUUGCGAUAAGUGUUAAGUGUGGCUGCCCAAACUGAGUAACCAGCACUUGUUACCAACACUAUUAAGCUUUAAGUGGCACUUUAGCCUUGCUCACUCGUGCUGGGUUUGGGUUAUUUAACACAUGGACUCUGGCCACAUGGUCCGACUGGAGCAUAAACUGCCAGAAACUUAAACACUUGUUCACUUCACCACUGCCAGAUUUCCCUCACCUUCAUCGGGGCAGAGCUGCCAAGAGCGUUCUGUGAGUUCUUGCCAGGAGCAUCUGUGAAUUAUGGAUAUCAAUACCCAGUGACUUUCUAUAGGUCACAUUUUUGGCCCCAUCAACACACAGUGGCAAUCCAGGGCUGCCCAGCACACCUGCUAUGUCCCUGAGCAAUGUUGGGCAGAUAUAACAUUGAUACCAUUUGCCUUUUUCAGCGACUCAAAUGGGAUUUCUCUAGGUGCCUCCCUUUGGGUCCUGCAGGUCACUGCUUACCAUGCUCAAACCCUUUGCAUUUAUUUUCUCAGUGUUUACUUGUUUUAAAUAUGCAACUAUAACAGUGGAACAUUUCAAAAACCUGAGUACGUGCUGAUCUGAAGGGCCUUUAUGCUCUUAAAGCCAUAUUAUGAGAAGUGUGAAGUUGUUGUGCAGUCCCUUCCCUGGAUGCUGGCUGCUUCUAGUCUCAGUCCCAUCCUGAGCAGCCUUUGGGGGAGGAGAGAUCUGGGCUGAGUGUGCAGGAGAAAUGCAAGGCUUUAGGUUGAAAACGCUGAGUGUGAGUCAUAAUUCUCCAGAAACUGAACAAAAAAAGAAAAAGAUGCACCAGCUGCGAUACAUGGAGAGGUUUUGAAAAUCUCUGAUUGAAGUAUAUAACUACAGCGGGUCUGCUAGCAAAACCUGAAUGAAGGCAGUGAGAUCCAAAGUCGGCUGUACGCCCCCGGCUCUGUGUUACUGGGGAUUUAGCACUACAGAGGGACAAAUCCAAGGGAGCAGAGAGCAGCCGGACCCACGGGCGGCUCCUCUGGGAACGGCCGACGCUGCGUUUGCUCUCUGCGUUCAGCACCACGGCCAGCGCCGGGCCGUUCGCUGCCGUUUCGUCCCUUGGGCCAACUUUGGGUUGGCAGCGUCCCCAAAAGAAGGGAAUAAAAGGAGGCAGAUCCGUGCUCUGCUCAUCUCUGUGCUGCCCCCAACGGUGGGCAGUCAUCCGGGUCCAACCACAGCCUCUGUUUGUUGCGCUGUUUGGGAAUCUUGGCGAUGCUAGAUGUUCAGAAGGAGCUUGGAAGUGCUGAUCUGAUCCCCAAGCUGACCUGUGGUGUAUGGUUUAAUGAGGCUGGUUUAUGUAUGCCGUACCCUAAAUCUAAAGGUUAGGGUGUUGGGGGCCAUAAAUAUUCACUCUGCGCUGACUGGGUAUUUCAAACAAGCUUUUAAAUAUUUAUGGCGGUGCUUCAAUGGCUGAAGGAGAAUCUUGUAAUAGUAUUAAGAGAAAAAAAAUCCUUCUGUAUCUAAAAGCUCAGCGUGAGCCAUUUUCAUAUAUUAUGCAUCACUAAGUGCUGUUUAUGGCCCUUCUUGGCAGAAUUGGUGCUGUAACAAGACAGAGUUCACGCGUGUGGGGCCGUGCAGCUCCUAGGGUGAACGGGUGCUAUUUUAACAUGCUAAACAGGAUAUUUUGCUGGGAAGUGACAGAGAAUUACAGAACACUACCAAUACCGGCUGCAUUAAAAAUGCCGUCUGGCUGUCAUGGUGCAAUUCAAUCACAGCUGUGCCCUGCUGCCUCUAAAAAGAUCUCAGCCAACCCAAGUGUGAAUUCUGAGGAAAACAUCUGAAAAUGGGAGCAGAUGAGUCGGACACAAGCAGCAGGAUGGAGCUGGAGCUGUUGCCAAGUUGCACCGUGUUUGGUGUUCAAUCUGGGGCUGCCCUGCAGCAAUGUGAAUGCUGUCAGAGUGGGAAUCCAAUGUCUGCAGCUCAACCUUUGGGCCAGCAGAGAGAGCAGCAAAGAGAAAAUCACUUGCAGUUUUUAAUUAGCUUCUAAUUAAGACCGAGAUGGGCUUUUGACUCUGUGCAGAGCAGCACAAUUCAGUCUGACUGAUCCCUCUUUCUGGGUGCUAUGGGAGUGUGGCCUCAUUACUCUCAGCUCCUUGAUUUUUAUACAUGCUUACGAUUUAGGGGAAAGUGCUCUGUCAGCUGAGUUCCCCAGGACUCCUGUGCCUGGCUGGUAAACUCCAUCUCCCCUGUGAAGUCUUUUUGUGCAGAGUUAGGGGAAACAACCCAGGUUUUCCCACUCUGCUUCGUGGAUGGUGGGUGAACUCAAAAGGAAAGGGAGAACGAUGGACGAGAGAGGGAUGCACAUCACGCACCACAUGCAUAGAGAACAGGAUCUCGUAAGCUUCAUUUCCUUAGGAAAUCAGGUUUAAAAUUAAGGCUAAUCAGAAUUAAGAAACACUGCCGUUACCCUAAACCAAAUGAUACUAUAAUAUACUCAGUAUAUUACAUUCUCAAUAGCAAAGCAGCAUCUGCUACAUAAAAUGAAAUGUGUGUGUCACCAUAUGUAGGCAGCAUAAUGUGGACUCAAAUUAAAUAAAAACAUUUCAGGGUAUAUGGUCCAAUGUGCAAUCUGGGCCCUGGGAAAUGCUGAGAUUUACUCUGAAGUUCCUAACAGUUGGCUAAAAUGCUGAACCCAAAGCAGCACAAACCCGGGUCUUUUUAGCGACAUAAGCUGUUGUCUGCACUUCCCCCCCAAUGAGUCAAUAUUGCUUCAGGAGUGCAUUGUUUCUCUUUUUCUUUCUUUUUCUUUUUUCUUUUUUUUUUUUCCUAUUUAUCUGUGUUCCUUAAUGAGGUUUCUUCCCAUUAGCUACAAAACACCUGGGCAAGCAGAGCCCUGGGCAGCAGCAAGCACUGCCUUCCCUCCAUGGAAGGUGCAGGAGGGCACUUGGAAGCCCCAUAAUAGCAUUCGGUCUGUGAUCCACGUGCUGCAGAUGAAUGUGAAGAGGUAAACUUUGCACAGCAGUGUGACUCCAACCCUUCCCAGCCACUCUUUUUCUCCCUGAAAGCUCUCACAGAGCAAGUGGCUUCUCAAGAAGCUCACACAAUCCUGUGCUAUUUUGAAGCAAUCAGGCUGAGCUGCACGAGGCAAUCCUCCCAGUGUGAAUCCUGCUCAAUGAGACUCUGAUGUUUGCCAUUACCCUCCUGUUGACCCCACCUGUUGAUACAAUAACAUGGUAGAAAGUUUGGGUUCUCUUCAGGUGCCUGAAACACUGAAACCAUGCUGGGGGGGGUUUUGCCUGGCUGGGACAGCUAAGGAAUUUGUAGCCAGCAAGCAUUGAUCGUAGGAUGAGUUCAACCCUUUGGAAUCAGCUAAGGAGGAUUUGCUUUUCUUUUGAAGAGAAUCUAUUAGGCACAAAAGAAGAAACGCAAAGCCAUUGUUCAGUGCCAGGAAGGAAGGGAUGUUUGCACAGUGCGUGGCCUGGCUGAGGUUUUAUCCUUCUUGCUCAAGUCCUUGAAUUAUUUUCAGACCAGAAAAGGCAUUGUUCUGCUCUUUAAAACAAAAUUUCCAACUGUGAGGCUUGGAUAGAAGCAUCUGAUGAGUUAAAAAUACAACAUACCAAAAACAAAGGGCAAGGCAAUGCCUCCAGUGGAACUAGCUGUGCUACCACCUGGAAAUGUUGGAUACACCUGUAAAGGCUCCAGGAAUUCACAGGGCACAAAGGCAAAAGGUCUGUGUGCUGUUUACAGGAAUUGCAGGGAGAGAGCUGUAACCAAGCCCACAGUGCCUGGGGCAGUGCAGCUGAGAGCUGUGCCUCAGGGUCAUCCCAGAUUGCUGCAGCAAUGGGGAUGGGCUCAUCUCACCAAAACAGCAGAGAGCUGAGGAACCUGUUACCCAUAUUGUUUUAACGAGGAAGUUCCCCAUGGCUUGUGUUGAAGGAAAAUCCUGCAACCACACAGUGCUCUGUUCCAGCUCCCUUCCUAUUCAUCUUCUGCACUUCCACAGUUCUUCAGCUGCUGUUUUAUUUCUGGUUUCUAAUGCAAGAGGCUGGUUCUCGCCAUUCCUGAUGUGCACUGCUGGUUGCUGACCUGUUCUCACUUGGUCUCCCCAAAGCAUUAGGUGAUGGAUUGAAGUCUGGCAGUCUGCUCCUCCACCUGCUUCUGAGCUGGGAGGUGAAGGGCUGCAGAGAAUGAGAGUUGUUUUCUAAAACUUAGAAAAAAGCAAGCCGUCUUUUCAGAUCCAUACAUGCAUCUUGUUUUUCUUUCCCUCAGUCCUUCAGGUGCAUUUUGAACCCCUAAUGCUAACACAGCAAGUAAAACACGUGGGAUGCAGCCUUUCUGACCCCAAAUCAGCAGCCUAAUACAAUUAGGAGGCAUAAACCAAGGUCAGCCAAGGAGUGAAGCAAAGAAUCAUACGUGGGGGCAUUUUGGAAGACCCAAAUGAAGUCCUCUGCCAAAUGCUUUGGCCAAAUGCACCACCUCUGUUUUAUGUGCCUGUGUUGGAAGUGAACAAAGGCAGCUGCAACCGAGGUGUUCCUGGACAUCAGCAGUACAUGGGCACACACAGGAGCGUUCUUCAAGAUGGGAGAGAAAAAAAAAUAAGACAGCCUGUAAAUACUUGUAACCCUGGGGCAACAGAACACAUAUCCUGGCAACGCGUGUGGGUUUUACUCUUCCAUGACAAUUUGCUUUGCUAUUCAUGAAAAAAUAUGUUGGUGCUGUUACCUUAGCAACUGCCGCAUCACGUUCCGGCGAUGCUCUGCCCGAGGUGCGUGGAGCCUUAAAGGAGCACGUCUGUCUCUCCUGUGCCUCUCCCCCGUGGAAACAGAGCUCAGCUGAGCUGGGAUCUUCACCAGGGAAGUCUCAGAAGUUGGUAAUGAAGCAGGAGGAAAUGCGUUCAUUUAGAUGCACUGUUUUGGAGCUGUGUCUGAUAGUGGCCCGAAGCCACUUUGGAUGAUAUGUCGGAUAAACUUGCAGCAAAAAGGAGCUACUUUCCCAAAAUAUUUUCACUUUUUAAGGGAAGAAAAAUGGCAACGAGAAGCCACUGGCAGGCUGGAUGUAUGGCAGGGAGCAUCUCUGUCCAGCUGUCUCCACCCAUAGUGUCCAUCUUCUGGAUUGGGCCAAUUUCCCAAGAAACAACCAAUUUUGCCUUCCUUUGUGUUGACUUCAAUGGAGAAAUUCAGCCCCAGUUGCUGUAGGUGGGAUCCCUAGGCAAUUCCUACAGAAAGAUAAGGUGAAAAUCUAUCACACAGUGACAUCUCACCUGUAAUGUGUGGAGGAGCCAGGAAGCUUCUUUUGGAAAGGCUCUUGGCUCUGAGUUAACUGCGCCAAGCAAUGGAAGAGCUCCAUGCCUCCAGCUGAGCCCUUUCACCUCCCCCUGAGGGAACACAGCUCCAUUUUCUAGUCAGAAUUCUUCCAACUUCCACUCCACACUGUGGACUAUCACUUUGCUUCUGUUAUCAGACAAAAGACCCUUUGUGUGCAGAAACCUCCCUCCCAGGGCAGCGUCUGCUCUCAGCCCCAUGGCAGCAUCUCCAGACCUCACAGCUCUGAGCCCUUUCCCACUUUCUGCAGGUGUUUUCCAAGUCAGGGUAAGACACCAUGGGAAUCAGAAGACCCAGUCUGUGUUCCUUUGCUGUGUCACUAUGGGCAAUUUUUCCUUUGAUUUCUCUGUUUCUCUGAUUUACACCCAGCAGGGGAGCUCCAUGGGCAGGGCCUUAUCCAUGGAAGCGUUGGGCACAGGUUCUGUGACAGUGUUCUUGGCAUUAAUUACAAAAGGCAGUAAAAGAGGAAUCAAUUAAAACCAAUGACAGAGCUUAUGCUUUUGUCAUUUACCCAGGUGCAAGCCAUAAUUAUUACUAUGAAGGUCAAUGGAGCUGGAUGUUUAUAAAAGCAAAGGAGAGGGUGGAAACAGGACCCUUUUUGGGGAUGUGCUGUCUGAUCAAUUUCACAGCCAAACCUGGUACCACUCUUUGGGAUCUCUCUGUCCUCUGGUUUUGGAUGAGAGCCCAUUCCCAGGCAGAGCAUCCUGCUGCAGUCCCAGCUGGGGGAAGGUGAUGUCUAUGGUAAAAAAAAGCUUUCUAAGGCACGAGGGGAGGAUGUGUUCAGACCUCAUUGCACACCUGAUGCUCUUGGCCUCAGUGCACUGCUCUCGAUAAAGUCAAGAGGAGCUUAAUGCUUUUUAAAGGUCCUCUGUUUUUAUGGGCUAUAAAGCAUUGACCUUAAAGGGAGAUGUUGAGGGAAGUAUAUUAAAGAGAGGCCUAUGGGGGAUGGCCAGGCACACCGGCUUUCCUGCAGCUGCUCUAUGGGCUGCUUUUUUUUUUCCCAAGCUCUCUCUAAACUGAUCUGAUUUUUUUCCCAUGGAUGCUGGUGAGUCCUACUGCAGCCACAAAGCUUCCCUUUGGGCACCCACUGAUGGCAACACACUGCUUUUGUGCGGUUUGAUCUCAGUAGCCUGGCCCUGCUGAGUCCCAGCUUAGUGUCACUGGGCUGCAAACGCUUUGCCUUCCACCCUUUGCUUUGAUGGGGAGUUCAGGGAGCCCACCUCCCACUCCAGCAGUGACCACAGGACUGCUGCAGAAGUGCUCCAAAAUGAGCACUUAAGGAAGGAAAAUCCUCUUGUGGGGCCUCUGCUAAUUGGAUGCCAGUGGCAAGUGAUUUCUGUUGAGGCACUCAUUAAGGUCAGACAUUGUGCACCACAUUUCUCACACUUGAAAAAGGGGGUGAUGGUGUUUGUCAGCCCGUUCUGCCAGCUACUGUGGGACUUAACAGCAUCCAUGAGGUCCUGGGAAAGCUGUGAGCUGGAGAUCAUUUGGGAUGUGUGUAAAGGGGGGGGAUGGAUGUAUCAUUCCCAUGGGUACUGGGAAGGGCACAGUGUGAGGUAUGCAUUGCCCGUGAUGCCCUCCCUAGCCAAGCUCUGGGCACACCAACAGAGCCUCUGUGGGGUAUUGGGAGCAAAGGAUGCACAGCAUGAGAUUUACCCCCUUUCUCCUACCAAACCAAUUGGGCUGUGAGCCUUCCAGCAGAGGCUGCUCAGAGCCCUCUGGGAGGGUUUGCUCUGGUCACGACCUUUGCACGGGGAUUUGACACUUCCA